CACCGCGGUUAUACGAGAGGCCCAAGUUGACAAUAAACGGCGUAAAGAGUGGUUAAGGAAAUUUUUUAACUAAAGCCAAACAUCCUCAAAGCUGUCAUACGCUCCCGAGUUAAGAAGCCCAAAAACGAAAGUAGCUUUAAUUUACCCGACCCCACGAAAGCUGUGGAA
rnacentral:rRNA from 1 species